AGAGUUUGAUCAUGGCUCAGAAUCAACGCUGGCGGCGCGCUUAACACAUGCAAGUCGCACGAGAAAGGGAGCAAUCCUAAGUAAAGUGGCGCACGGGUGAGUAACACGUGGAUCAUCUACCUUUUAGUGGGGAAUACCUCUGGGAAACCGGAGACAAUACCGCAUAAGCCCGCAAGGGGAAAGCAGCAAUGCGCUGAAAGAGGAGUCCGCGGCCGAUUAGCUAGUUGGCGGGGCAAUGGCCCACCAAGGCGAAGAUCGGUAGCCGGCCUGAGAGGGCACACGGCCACACUGGCACUGAAACACGGGCCAGACUCCUACGGGAGGCAGCAGUGGGGAAUCUUGCACAAUGGACGAAAGUCUGAUGCAGCGACGCCGCGUGAGCGAUGAAGCCCUUCGGGGUGUAAAGCUCUUUCGACGGGAACGAUAAUGACGGUACCCGGAGAAGAAGCUGCGGCUAACUACGUGCCAGCAGCCGCGGUAAUACGUAGGCAGCGAGCGUUGUUCGGAAUUACUGGGCGUAAAGAGUGUGUAGGCGGUGUUCCCAGUCUGUUGUGAAAUCUCCCGGCUUAACUGGGAGGGUGCAGCGGAAACUAGAAUGCUAGAGGGUGGGAGAGGUAAGCGGAAUUCCUGGUGUAGCGGUGAAAUGCGUAGAUAUCAGGAGGAACACCUGGUGUAGACAGCUUACUGGACCACUUCUGACGCUGAGACACGAAAGCGUGGGUAGCAAACAGGAUUAGAUACCCUAGUAGUCC
rnacentral:rRNA from 1 species